rnacentral:rRNA from 1 species
UGGGGAAUAUUGCGCAAUGGGGGGAACCCUGACGCAGCCAUGCCGCGUGAAUGAAGAAGGCCUUAGGGUUGUAAAGUUCUUUCGGUAUUGAGGAAGGUUGAUGUGUUAAUAGCACAUCAAAUUGACGUUAAAUACAGAAGAAGCACCGGCUAACUCCGUGCCAGCAGCCGCGGUAAUACGGAGGGUGCGAGCGUUAAUCGGAAUAACUGGGCGUAAAGGGCACGCAGGCGGUUAUUUAAGUGAGGUGUGAAAGCCCCGGGCUUAACCUGGGAAUUGCAUUUCAGACUGGGUAACUAGAGUACUUUAGGGAGGGGUAGAAUUCCACGUGUAGCGGUGAAAUGCGUAGAGAUGUGGAGGAAUACCGAAGGCGAAGGCAGCCCCUUGGGAAUGUACUGACGCUCAUGUGCGAAAGCGUGGGGAGCAAACAGGAUUAGAUACCCCGGUAGUCCACGCUGUAAACGCUGUCGAUUUGGGGGUUGGGGUUUAACUUUGGCGCCCGUAGCUAACGUGAUAAAUCGACCGCCUGGGGAGUACGGCCGCAAGGUUA